rnacentral:rRNA from 1 species
UACGGAGGGAGCUAGCGUUGUUCGGAAUUACUGGGCGUAAAGCGCACGUAGGCGGCUUUGUAAGUUAGAGGUGAAAGCCUGGGGCUCAACCCCAGAAUUGCCUUUAAGACUGCAUCGCUUGAAUCCAGGAGAGGUGAGUGGAAUUCCGAGUGUAGAGGUGAAAUUCGUAGAUAUUCGGAAGAACACCAGUGGCGAAGGCGGCUCACUGGACUGGUAUU